rfam:Clostridium sp. CAG:575 genomic scaffold, scf121
GUUAUAAUAUUAAUUGAUGGUGCAUUAUUCUAGUCGUACUUAAAGUUAUGAGGGUGGGGCUAAAAAUCCACUAAAGGGCACAUCGUUGAAGUUUCUUGUUUAUGCGCGGAAUGCCAGUUUUGUGUGUGAGCAGGGAGUAAAGAGGUUAGGGUAGUAUGUAAUGGCAUAUAUAUGAUUCCCUGGUUUCGCGGAGACUUAAAUAGAAAAAUUUAAGUGAAACCUAUGUUGAGUGCCAAGACACGAAAUACAUAGAGUAGCCUGUCUUGAGUGAAGGUAUUGGGAUUAGUUUAUCACGAGUAAAUAAUGUUUUGGCCAAAUGUUUUUUACUUUAAUUAUGAAAUUGCAUUUGCAAAAAAGACUAAUAACUUUAUAAAAAGUAUGUUAAGGAAAACUUCUAGAAUGUUUGCUUUAUCAAAAAGCUUGAAAAUCUAGGGAUUAAGGUACGGAUUUAAGUGGCGAUCUGGUGGCUAAAUAUAAAUUUAGUUAGUUCCCUUAAACGGAAACGGCUAUAACAGUAAUGUUAAGCGGGAAGUAGAGAAAUUCAACCAGACCUAAACCGUAAAAUUUACUUAGGUUUUUACCAUCUAACUUAAUUAUUUA